CCUACGGGAGGCAGCAGUGAGGAAUAUUGGUCAAUGGACGAGAGUCUGAACCAGCCAAGUAGCGUGAAGGAUGACUGCCCUAUGGGUUGUAAACUUCUUUUAUAUGGGAAUAAAACGUUCCACGUGUGGGAUUUUGUAUGUACCAUAUGAAUAAGGAUCGGCUAACUCCGUGCCAGCAGCCGCGGUAAUACGGAGGAUCCGAGCGUUAUCCGGAUUUAUUGGGUUUAAAGGGAGCGUAGGUGGAUUGUUAAGUCAGUGGUGAAAGUUUGCGGCUCAACCGUAAAAUUGCAGUUGAAACUGGCAGUCUUGAGUACAGUAGAGGUGGGCGGAAUUCGUGGUGUAGCGGUGAAAUGCUUAGAGAUCACGAAGAACUCCGAUUGCGAAGGCAGUUCACUGGACUGCAACUGACACUGAGGCUCGAAAGUGUGGGUAUCAAACAGGAUUAGAUACCCGUGUAGUC
rnacentral:rRNA from 1 species